rnacentral:lncRNA from 1 species
AUUUCCUUAAUUUUAGGAGUGGAAGAAUAAUUCUGUAGUGGAAGAAUAAUUCUAUUGGACACAUGGCAUCAUUGUAUAGGUGGGAGUAGAAUAUUCUUCUUUGUAUGUAUUAUCCCUUGGCUGUAAUCGUGUAUAUAGGGAGUGCAGAGGAAGAGAUUUUUUGAGUUGAAAAUUUUCAUUGAAAUCACUUCAAUUUCUUUCUUGGUAUCAGAGCCAAAAAAUGGCUAACACCGAUUCCAGAGUUCAAGCUCCUUCAACCGAUUUGAGUUUUGCACCACCCAAAGAAGCUGCUGUGUAUCAAGCAUCACCGUUUGGGAUGAAUCUUACCCAAACUCCAUCAAUAAAACUUGACAAAAACAACUUUCUGUUGUGGCAAAAUAUGAUAAUGCCAAUAGUCAAAGGUCAUAAUCUUGAAGGCUACUUGCUGGGAACAAAACUAUGUCCACCGGAGUUCCUUAGAACUUAGACUACUACUGAAGGAAAAGAAACCAUAAAAGUGACCUAGAAUCCAGAUUACAGCAGGUGGAUAUCAACUGAUCAGCUGCUGUUGGGAUGGUUGUAUUCAUCCAUGACCCUUGAAUUGUAAUGAGGGUUAUGGGAUGCUCUAGCUCAAACAAGCUGUGGAAUGCAGUCAAAGAAAGCUUUGGAAUAUUGAAUAAAUCAAGGGUUACAUUUCUCACUAGGGAGUUGCAGAGAACUAGAAAAGGCUCUAUGACUAUGGAUCAGUACCUUACCAUUGUGAAGCAGUUGGCUGACAAUCUACAAAUAGCUAGAAAAACUGUGGAUCAUAGUGAUCUUGUAACCCAAGUUCUUGCAGGACUAGAUGAAGAAUACACACCAGUUAUGGUGCAGAUUAAUAGCAGGGAUAAUAUUUCAUGGUAUGAGCUCUCAUAAGUUCUUAUGACAUUUGAAAGCAGGCUUGAACAUCUUAAUCAAGUUAAGAAUGGCUUAUUAUCCUUGAAUAUCAGUCAAUCAAGUGUGCAAUUAGCUCAAAGGUCUGGAUCAGGUGGUGGAAGAACCUUCAGAAUGGCUAAUAGUGGAAGGUCCAUAAACUUCAGAGGAAGAACAAGAGGCAGAGGAAGAGUAGGCAGGACAAGUAAAAAUCGAGGACCCUGUCAAAUUUGUGGAUUGAAUAAUCAUUUAGCUAGCUAGUGCUUCAAUAGAUAUGACGAAAGAUUUAUGGGAAGUAGACCUAGCAACUAGACUCAUCAGAACAACAACCCAACUGCCACUGCCUAUGUAGCCUCACCGAGCACAGUUGAGGAUCCAACCUGGUCUGCAGAUUCUGGAGCAAGUAGUCAUGUAACAGCUGACAAAGGUAACCUGGCCAUUGCAAAGAAGUAUGGAGGUAAGGAGAAAUUGAUUGUUGGCAAUGGAAAUUCACUGCACAUUGCUCCUAUUGGUAAAAGGAAUGUUUCCACAUUGAGUAAUAUGUCUCUUACCUUGAACCAAUUGUUGCAUGUGCCUGCCAUUAAGAAAAAUUUAAUUAGUGUCUCUCAAUUGACAAAUGACAAUAGCGUAUUCAUGGAAUUUUAUCCUAACUAUUGUGUUGUUAAGGACUUGGAAACGAAGAGGAUCUUGCUACAGGAGACGCUUAGAGAUGGAUUGUAUCAGCUGAAGUUGACAAGCUCCAAGUCUGAACUCGUAGCCCAAGAGUCAAGCCACCAAAAUAAUUCCUGUUUCACAAAUUUCUCAGUAAGUUCAAGUUGUCAUGAGUCAAACAAAAGUGUCAAGUUACCAGAGUCAGAGGUAGAUGUCUAGCAUAAGAGAUUAGGCCAUCCUUCAAACCUUGUAUUGAGUCAAGUAUUAAAGUCUUGUAAUAGAGUUGCAAAAUUUAAUGAAAAUCCAACUUUCUGUGAAGCAUGUCAGUUUGGCAAGUCUCAUGCGUUACCUUUUAACUUGUCUUCAUCACAUGCAUCAAAUGUGUUAGACCUUAUACACACAAUGUUUGGGGACCAGCACCACAGAAUUCUA